rnacentral:rRNA from 1 species
UUUGUACACACCGCCCGUCGCUGCUACCGAUGUUUGGUCCGGUGAAAUCUUAAGACUUGUAUCAUUCACUCGCUUUUCUUUCGGGAGGAGCGAGUUUGAUGCGGGGAAUUUGAGUAAACCUUGCUAAAUAGAGGAAGCAAAAGUCGUAACAAGGUAUUCGUAGGUGAACCUGCGGAUGGAUCAU